rnacentral:tRNA from 1 species
AAGGGAGACCUAAUUCGGGUAUAAGACGAAAAAAGAGUAGUCGAAACCAAGAAUCAAUCCCAAAAGGUCGGAACGAGGUAUGUGGCUUUCAAACUAGGUUCUGGGUUCACACAAGACCUGAAUCAGGAACAAGGGCUAUUAGCUCAGGUGGUUAGAGCGCACCCCUGAUAAGGGUGAGGUCCCUGGUUCGAGUCCAGGAUGGCCCACCUGCACAGGUGGCAAAAACAAGAGAAGCUCCGAAUCAGCACCUUAUCUUACUUACAUAUAAGAGAGAAUGCUGGCUCUGAGUAAAGAGUCCAGAGGAACCUUGAAAACUGCAUAGAGCUAGGUGAAAAAGCCAAAAAAGAAGACCGCAA